UGUUGGAAAAGAGGCCUCGUGGUGAUGACAGGUAGCAAGAAGCCCCAUUUUCUGAAUUGAUAGAAGGGUAUGAGAAACCCUGAUGUCUGGAGGGUAUCCAGCUGCUGGGUUUAUAAAUCCUGUCACACAGGCAUCAUGCAUUCACUCAGUCAUUACUCGGUCAACUAUGGAGUCCCAGUAUAUAUGAGAGACCAUAUAUUUUCGCAUGCUAAGGAGGAAAACAAAGUUCUCUGAACUCUGUUUCCGAACCAAAUCGGCUGCCCAGAGAAAUGUUUUAUUUGGCCACACUGAUGUUUUUCAGAAAUUGAAUUGGUGACCGACCACUAAACAUGGGAAUAUUUCCCACUUACAAAAAAAUUUUUUAACGCUUAUUUAUUAUUGAGAGACAGAGAGAGACAGAGCAUGAGCAUGGGAGGGGCAGAGAGAGGAGGAGACACAGAAUAUAAAGCAGGCUCCAGGCUCUGAGCACAGAGCCCGACGCAGGGCUCAAACUCACGAACCGCGAGAUCAUGACCUGAGCCAAAGUCAGACGCCCAACCAACUGAGCCACCCAGGCGCCCCAGGAAUCGCUCGUUUAAACGACCUGUGGCCAUUCAGGGGUCUGAACGUCCUUGUGGCGGGUGUGGGUUCCCUGGGUUUUCGUGGAGUGUUUUCCAAGACCCAGGCGCCCCAUUCUUCAUUCCCCACCUAUCCCAAGGAACCCUAACUAUGAGGACCGUGUAUCUUAUGCUUCAGGAGCCUAGGAACAAGACAACGGCAGUGGAGGAGCAGUUAGUACAAGAGGUGGAGCGCCUCCAGGCAAAGGUAGAGGCCGGGAAAGCCUGUUUCUUAGAGAAGUACAAAGAGUGUCAACGACUCCACAAACAGAUCAGGCAACUCAGGGCUGCUGCGCUGGAAGUGAAGCAGGACCAGAAGAGCCAGCAAGAGCCCAUGGGGAUGGGGAGCCAGGAGCCAGCAGUGAGCACUGUCGUCGGGUAGUCCCUCCCGCAUUACUACCUCAGGGCCGGCUAGAAGCACACGGCAGUCCGGGCACCAGCAUUCAAAUAAAAAAAUCUUGGAAAAAAAAAA